CCCGGCCCCGCGCGCAGUCCAGAGGCCCCGCGUGUGUGCCCUCGCCCUGCCGGAGCCGGGAAAAUGGAGGCUGUGAUUGAGAAGGAAUGCAGCGCGCUCGGAGGCCUCUUCCAGACCAUCAUCAGCGACAUGAAGGGGAGCUAUCCAGUUUGGGAAGAUUUCAUAAACAAAGCAGGAAAGCUGCAGUCCCAGCUUCGGACAACAGUAGUAGCAGCAGCUGCCUUCUUGGACGCCUUUCAGAAAGUGGCUGACAUGGCCACCAACACACGUGGUAAGCAGAUGGAGGCUGACUCCCAGCGUUAACUGCAUUCAGCACGUGGGCUCUUCCCCUUGGGUGGCUGCACAAGAAGAUGCAGCUUAAGUUAUCAGAGCUGAGCUGACUUGUAUUUUCCCAUUUUUUAAAACUCUGUGGGAUUCCACAUAUUAGAAGUUGCAGCUAGUUUUCCGGAUAAUAAAGCACAUGUGAAGAAGAAUGAAAAAGGAAGAAAAUGAACCACCGUUUCUGCACGAGUUGGCUUGAUGGUUUCUUUGAUCACUUUAAUGACGUGCUGGUUGUUGAACCUUGAGCUGUGCCUUUGGUUGCAAUUUGCGUUUUCCUCCUUACGUGGGUUUUCCUUGUUUCCUCGUGGAAUGGGAACCAGUAGGGAUGAUUGGAUAGACCAUUUUUCUGAGUUUCCAUAAAAUGAGGAACCUUUUAAAAUAAGGA
rnacentral:sRNA from 1 species